CUUAUGAUGGCGACCGGCGCACGGGUGCGUAACGCGUAUGCAACCUACCUUUUACAGGGGCAUAACACUGAGAAAUUGGUACUAAUUCCCCAUAAUAUCUGAGACGGCGUCGUUUUGGGUUGAAAACUCCGGUGGUAAAAGAUGGGCAUGCGUUGUAUUAGCUAGUUGGUGAGGUAACGGCUCACCAAGGCGACGAUACAUAGGGGGACUGAGAGGUUAACCCCCCACAUUGGUACUGAGACACGGACCAAACUCCUACGGAAGGCAGCAG
rnacentral:rRNA from 1 species